AUUGAACGCUGGCGGCAUGCUUUACACAUGCAAGUCGAACGGCAGCGCGGGGCAACCUGGCGGCGAGUGGCGAACGGGUGAGUAAUAUAUCGGAACGUACCCAGAAGUGGGGGAUAACGUAGCGAAAGUUACGCUAAUACCGCAUACGAUCUACGGAUGAAAGUAGGGGACCGCAAGGCCUUAUGCUUUUGGAGCGGCCGAUAUCUGAUUAGCUAGUUGGUGAGGUAAAGGCUCACCAAGGCGACGAUCAGUAGCUGGUCUGAGAGGACGACCAGCCACACUGGAACUGAGACACGGUCCAGACUCCUACGGGAGGCAGCAGUGGGGAAUUUUGGACAAUGGGCGCAAGCCUGAUCCAGCAAUGCCGCGUGAGUGAAGAAGGCCUUCGGGUUGUAAAGCUCUUUUGUCAGGGAAGAAACGGUAGAGGCUAAGAUCCUUUGCUAAUGACGGUACCUGAAGAAUAAGCACCGGCUAACUACGU
rnacentral:rRNA from 1 species